rnacentral:lncRNA from 1 species
AGCAGGCUGCCCGAGCUAGCAGCAGCAACCCGGUCAGGUCCCCUUUUGUGCUGUGGAAGCUUUGUUCUUUCUCUGUUUGCAAUAAAUCUUACUGCUGCUCACUCUUUGGGUCUACGCCGCCUUUAUGAGCUAUAACACUCACCGUGAAGGUCUGCAUCUUCACUCCUGAAGCCAGUGAGACUACGAACAAACGCAUUGGGAGGGACGAACAAACGCAUUGGGAGGGACCAACAACUCCGGACAUGAGGAACAAACAACUCCAGAUGCGCUGUCUUUAAGAGCUGUAACACUCACAGCAAAGGUCUGCGCCUCACUUCUUAAGUCAGUGAGACCACAAACCCACCAGAAGGAAGAAACUCCGGACGCAUCUGAACAUCUGAAAGCACAAACUCUGGACACACCAUCUUUAAGAACUGUAACACUCACCGCGAGGGUCCGCAGCUUCAUUCUGGAAGUCAGCAAGACCAAGAACCCAUUAUUCCGGACACAAAGGGGCAGCUGCUGUAGCUGUGUCACCUGACAAGCAACCAGCGCCCCCGCUGCACAAAGCAGCAGCAGCAGCAGUUUCAGCACAGCCCAGAAACGAGUGUGCUUCCGGGGGAGUGGCUUGCAGGGGCAGGAUUCGGACUUAGAUUUGGGGGCCUAAUUUGUUUCCUUGUUCCAGGGAGAAGAUGUCCAUCUAUAAGAAAGUGGUCCCUCAGCAGACACUGAAUCUGCUGGUGUCCUGAUCUUGAAUAUACCAGCCUCCAGAACUGUAACACAUGCAUGGGUGCAAAACAUGCUUCUGUGUCAUCUCACAUAGUGUGGUCAACAGAGAACACCUGGGCAGAAGAUGAGAGGCUCCUGGGGACUGGUCUGAGACAAGGUGCUGUAAAAGAAAACCUAUAUUAAAGUGGUUGGAAGUGCACAGACUGGUUGCUUCACCUGCAGCCAGAAUGCAAGACAGGUGCAAGUCAUCCCUGAGGAAGUAGUGACCAGCUGUGGAUGCUACGCUGAGGCCCUUCUUUAAGAGUGAUCUGAUGGCACUGGAUGUCUGCUGAGGCUUGUGUCUAGAAGGAAUGAAAGGAUGUGCCAACAACAGCAGUUGUCUCCUCGUUUUCAAAGCUCAGGCCUCAUGAUGGCUCUGUGGCCCAGGCUGGAGUGAAGUGGCACCAUCUCAGCUCACCGUAACCUCUGCCCCACAGGUUCAAGUGAUUCUCUUGCCUCAGCCUCCUGAAUAGCUGAGAUUACAGGUGUGCGCUGCCAUGUCCAGCUAAUUUUUGUAUUUUUAGUAGAGAGAGCGUUUCACCAUGUUGGCCAGGCUGGUCUGGAACUUCUGACCUCAGGUGAUCCACCCACCUUGGCCUCCCAAAGUGCUGGGAUUAUAGGCGUGAGCCACCACCCCUGGCCUGAACUGUUUACUUUGUAGUUAGUUUUAUGAUGUGCCUGUGGCACUAUUUUCAGUAUGCUGUUUAUUAAAACUGGAAAUAAAGUAAAAAAUUUUAAAUCUUCACAACCAGGUUAAUUUGAAUGCACUGAGAUAAUUUAUGGUUU